rnacentral:tRNA from 2 species
AAAUCCGUUGGUUUCGACCGUGAGGGUUCGAGUCCCUUAUCCCCA